rnacentral:lncRNA from 10 species
AAGAAAUUACACCUUUUACUAACCUCUAAUAGAAGUUUAGCAUUUCCUCCAAUUAUGAAUAUGGGUAAAACCACCAGUAGUAUUAGCAGUACCUGUGACUUGUCACUAAUUGACACCACAGCUACUUUUAUGUCUCACUGUGACUGUUGUAGAAAUCUCAAAUAUGGCUUAUGCUCAUUAGUAUUUGGAAAAUGUCAGUUUAUUACACCUGUUUUUAGAUCUUGUUAUUAAAUACAUGAAAAAGAAGCACAUUAGUUUCAUAAUUUUUUAGCAUUUUGGUAAACUGUUUCCAUUGGUUUCCCUUAUAAUCCUAUACAUUUUAUGGGUUUUGUUGUUGUUGUUGUUCUGUUUUUGAGACAGUCUCACUCUGUUGCCCAGGCUGGAGCACAGUUGUGUGAUCUCAGCUCACUGCAACCCCCACCUCCCGGGUUCUAAGCAAUUCUCCUGCCUCAGCCUCCUGAAUAGCUGAGAUUACAGGCGCAUGCCACCACACCCUGCUAAUUUUUGUAUCUUUAGUAGAGAUGGGGUUUUGCUAUGUUGGCCAGGUUGGUCUCGAACUCCUGGCCUCAAGUGAUCUACCCACCUCAGCCUCCCAAAGUGCUGGGAUUACAGGGGUGAGCCACUAUGCCUGGUCCAUUUUAUAGGUUUUAAAACCUAAUUCUGAGGAGGACUCAGUAGACCUCUACAGACUGCCAAAGGCGUUUAUGGCACAAAAAAGGUUCAGCACCCCUGGCCUGACUGCAUUCCUUCCAGAAACAGAACACAAUGCUGGGCAAAACAGGUGAUGGGAAAUGGAAUGAGGAGGGGAUUAAAAUUGCCUCAAGCUAGGUCCAUAUAUUAGUGUAAAAAUCUGUGUCUCUCCCCCCAAAAAUGUACAAACCCCAAGUGAUUAUAGAAAAAUCAAUGUGGCAGCUACACUAGAGAUGUCCAACCCCAAGGCUAUGGGCCGUUGCUCCCUCUUUCCCCCCAAUCCCAAUAUUUACUCCACAGAAACGUAUAGGCUUAGAGAAGUUCUAGCUACAAGACUGCAAGUGGGAAGUGGGGGUGACUGAGGGCUGGGGCGGGGCUACCCCCAGGUCCAGUGUUUCAGGUGAUGGAGGAGGAAGAAGCCCAAGCUGAGGACAAGUACAGGAGCAGGCACAAGGAAACAUUUUCCUCUCCUUCUUGUCCUCCUCACCCCCAGAUUCUCAGCCAGUGGGGUCCAGUGUGUGACAGGGAGAGAGAAGCUGGGGGCGCAGCCACCUCUCCAGGAAUCAGUGUUGUCCAGUGGGGCCCAGGUGCUCCA